GGAAUUAAGGACGGCACGUUGUCCUUGUAAUGGGGAUCCAGCAGGCUGGCCACCCAGUAAUCGGCACAAGUUAGAAUGUGGGCAACUCGGCAGUCGUUGUGCAGGCACUUUGGUAACUCUAGAUAACCUUGGGCCGAUCGCACGUCCCCGUGACGGUGACGACGCAUUCGGAUGUCUGCCCUAUCAACUUUCAAUGGUACUUUCUGCACCUACCAUGGUGACCACGGGUAACGGGGAAUCAGGGUUCAAUUCCG